CAGUCGCCGCGGGAAUACGAAGGGUGCAAGCGUUAAUCGGAAUUACUGGGCGUAAAGCGCGCGUAGGUGGUUUGGUAAGAUGGAUGUGAAAUCCCCGGGCUCAACCUGGGAACUGCAUCCAUAACUGCCUGACUAGAGUACGGUAGAGGGUGGUGGAAUUUCCUGUGUAGCGGUGAAAUGCGUAGAUAUAGGAAGGAACACCAGUGGCGAAGGCGACCACCUGGACUGAUACUGACACUGAGGUGCGAAAGCGUGGGGAGCAAACAGGAUUAGAUACCCCUGUAGUCCCUGUCUCUUAUAA
rnacentral:rRNA from 1 species